ensembl:snRNA U6 U6 spliceosomal RNA
GUGCUCACUUUGGCAGCACAUACACUAAAAUUGGAAUGAUACAGAGAAGAUUAGCAUGGACACGCAAGGACAAUAUGCAAAUUUGUGAAGCAUUCCAUAUUUUU